UACGUAGGGUGCAAGCGUUAAUCGGAAUUACUGGGCGUAAAGCGUGCGCAGGCGGUUGUGCAAGACCGAUGUGAAAUCCCCGGGCUUAACCUGGGAAUGGCAUUGGUGACUGCACGGCUAGAGUGUGUCAGAGGGGGGUAGAAUUCCACGUGUAGCAGUGAAAUGCGUAGAGAUGUGAAGGAAUACCGAUGGCGAAGGCAGCCCCCUGGGAUAACACUGACGCUCAUGCACGAAAGCGUGGGGAGCAAACAGG
rnacentral:rRNA from 1 species